CCUGGGCUCUCACUGGCAAUACCUGGGGGUGUGAGCAAGCUGACAGGCCUGAUGCUGCACCUCAGUGAGUUCCCACACAAGGGGAACCAGCCCUGGGAAGACGGAGGUCAAGUUCUUCAGCAACAUUAAUCAUUUGCCAUGCCUGAGAUGUCUCCUGAUGAGAACGUCAGUACAUUGAUCUUAGGCUACAGGAAGGAACUGGAAAGACAUUCAGACAAAAGUGCUGGCUGCACAUUUGGGCAAAGUGCUGACUUGCUUUUGUUGUGAUGUACAUGGUGCUAUCCCUGAGCCAGGUGAUGAUGACCUAGAAGGUGAUCUGACAACGAAUGAUUCUUUUGGAGAAUGUGUUGACUAUUGUAGGAGCUCACACACUAAUAAUGAGACUAAACUGCUUCCAGCAGAUAAUUGCCUGGCAGUCGCUCUGAUAGCUGGGUAGAUAAACAGCCUGUUUUCUCCAUUCCUUCAAGAACAUAACAAGGGAGGCAAAAACAAGGCCUGGAGCAUUUGCAGUCUUGAAGUAAAACUAGAGUAAAUUGAUAGUAGGAAGGAGCAUUUAAGACAAGUAAAUACACUGUUGUUGAGCCAUUUUUCUGAGAAGUUACACAGCAAGGUACAAUCUUACUGAAUUUAAAUGAGAUUAUCCCACCUCAGUCCAACUUUGCUAACUUGCACUGGACUGUUCAGUCUUCAGUAAAGACUGCCUGACAAAUAUGAAGUC